rnacentral:lncRNA from 1 species
UGGUGGAGAAGAGUGUGCAUCUCGAUGAGAAGAUGGUCCGUUGAUGUUGAUGGGUUUCGCGAUCUGGGUUCUGGAUUUGGCAGCGACGGGUUGUGCUCCUGCGAAGGAUGGUAUGCGAGGAAGAUGAUGGCGUCCGUGGAGGUUGCACGACAGCGUCUUUGUGGUGGCACGGUGGUCAGUCAAUGCGACAUGGUGGCUUGGCUAGGUUUCUUCUGAGUGUAAGUGGUAGUCGUCGUUGAUGGAGGAGAAGAUGAAGGCAGUGGUGCGACGACGAUUUGGACUGGUGCUUGCUCACCGAAGAUUGGGUGGUGGCGUGAAGCUUCGUGAUGGCCGGUGGGCAUGCCGACGAUGGUGGCUGGCAGCGGCUUGAAGGUUGACGGUGAUGCCUUUAGGGUAGCUGACGGCUAGGGUCUGGAUUGGGAAUUAGGGUUUCUGUUUGUUAGAGAUGGUGAUGACG